UACGUAGGGUGCGAGCGUUGCCCGGAUUUAUUGGGCGUAAAGGGCGCGUAGGCGGCCACGCACGUCCGUUGUGAAAUCGCCCGGCUCAACUGGGCGGGGUCGGCGGAUACGGCGUGGCUGGAGCAAGCUAGGGGGCAAUGGAAUUCCCGGUGUAGUGGUGGAAUGCGUAGAUAUCGGGAGGAACACCAGUGGCGAAGGCGGUUGCCUGGAGCUUUGCUGACGCUGAGGCGCGAAA
rnacentral:rRNA from 1 species